UACGGAGGGUGCAGGCGUUAAUCGGAAUUACUGGGCGUAAAGCGCACGCAGGUGGCUGAGUCAGUCGAUUGUGAAAGCCCUGGGCUUAACCUGGGAAUUGCAGUCGAUACUACUCAGCUAGAGUAUGGGAGAGGGCAGUGGAAUUCCCGGUGUAGCGGUGAAAUGCGUAGAUAUCGGGAGGAACAUCAGUGGCGAAGGCGGCUGCCUGGCCCAAUACUGACACUCAGGUGCGACAGCGUGGGGAGCAAACAGG
rnacentral:rRNA from 1 species